rnacentral:rRNA from 1 species
UCGGGAAUUUUGGGCAAUGGGCGAAAGCCUGACCCAGCAACGCCGCGUGAAGGAUGAAGUAUUUCGGUAUGUAAACUUCGAAAGAAUAGGAAGAAUAAAUGACGGUACUAUUUAUAAGGUCCGGCUAACUACGUGCCAGCAGCCGCGGUAAUACGUAGGGACCAAGCGUUGUUCGGAUUUACUGGGCGUAAAGGGCGCGUAGGCGGUGUGUCAAGUCAGUUGUGAAAUCUCCGAGCUUAACUCGGAACGGUCAACUGAUACUGUCACACUAGAGUACAGAAGGGGCAAUCGGAAUUCUUGGUGUAGCGGUGAAAUGCGUAGAUAUUGGGAAGAACACCGGUUGCGAAGGCGGCUACCUGGCCCGGUACUGACGCUGAGGUGCGAAAGCGUGGGGAGCAAACAGGAUUAGAUACCCCUGUAGUCCCUGAGCGGGCUGGCAAGGCGCAU